CAGAGGGGCCUUGCUUAACCUGCAUCUGCUCCUGUGGACUCUCUGUCAGCCCUGAGCACAGGACACUUCCUCUUGUUCCUGGGGCGGAGCCUGACGAAAGCUGGGAGCAGGAGAGGGGCCAGCCAGCCGCACCCCGUGUCCUCGGCUUCCUGGCGUCCCUGAAGCUACCAUGCCUGAACGUGAUGGCAACCGAGGCUCAGUCAGGGACAGCCACCGAGAAGGAGGAGAAAAGCAAGGACGUGCAUAGGAUUCAAGGUCUUCAUCUUUUUCUGAUCACAAAAAGAAUGCGUUAUUCAUUGUACAGAAAUUGAAAAAGACAGGGAAGAAAAUUCCACCACCAGAGAUAUAUAUGGAGUUAUAUGUAUAUAUCUGAUGGUGGAAAUAUCUAUAUUAAUAAAAGGGU